GGGGUUGUGGCUCAGUGGUAGAGCGCUCGCCUAGCACAUGCGAGUCCCGGGGUUCGAUCCUCAGCACCACA
rnacentral:tRNA from 1 species